rnacentral:rRNA from 1 species
AUUGAACGCUGGCGGCAUGCCUUACACAUGCAAGUCGAACGGUAACAGGUCUUCGGAUGCUGACGAGUGGCGAACGGGUGAGUAAUACAUCGGAACGUGCCUAGUAGUGGGGGAUAGCUACUCGAAAGAGUGGCUAAUACCGCAUGAGAUCUACGGAUGAAAGCAGGGGAUCGCAAGACCUUGUGCUACUAGAGCGGCCGAUGGCAGAUUAGGUAGUUGGUGGGAUAAAAGCUUACCAAGCCGACGAUCUGUAGCUGGUCUGAGAGGACGAUCAGCCACACUGGGACUGAGACACGGCCCAGACUCCUACGGGAGUCAGCAGUGGGGAAUUUUGGACAAUGGGCGCAAGCCUGAUCCAGCAAUGCCGCGUGCAGGAUGAAGGCCUUCGGGUUGUAAACUGCUUUUGUACGGAACGAAAAGCCCUGGGUUAAUACCCUGGGGUCAUGACGGUACCGUAAGAAUAAGCACUGGCUAACUACGUGCCAGCCGCCGCGGUAACAC